rnacentral:rRNA from 1 species
AACGAACGCUGGCGGCAUGCCUAACACAUGCAAGUCGAACGAGACCUUCGGGUCUAGUGGCGCACGGGUGCGUAACGCGUGGGAACCUGCCCUUAGGUUCGGUAUAACUCCCCGAAAGGGGUGUUAAUACCGGUUAAUGUCUUCGGACCAAAGAUUUAUUGCGUUUGGAUGGGCCCGCGUUGGAUUAGCUAGUUGGUAGGGUAAAAGCAUACCAAGGCGAGGAUCCAGAGCUGGUCUGGGAGGAUGCUCAGCCACACUGGAACUGAGACACGGCCCAGAGUCCUACGGGAGGCAGCAGUAGGGAAUAUUAGACGAGGGGCGAAAGUCUGAUCCAGCAGUGCCGCGUAAGUGAUGAAGGCCUUAGGGUUGUAAAGCUCUUUUAGCCGGGAUGAUAAUGACAGUACCGGGAGAAUAAGCUCCGGCUAACUCCGUG